rnacentral:lncRNA from 1 species
ACUCUCUCUCUCUCUCUCUCUCAAAAAUAAAUAAAUAAAUAAAUAAAUAAACAAAUAAAUAAAUAAAUAAAUUUUAAAAAGAAAAUAUGAACGAUCAAUAGUGACUAAUAAGAUCGAAGCAGUGAUCAAAAACCUCCCGACAAGGAGCGCCUGAGUGGCUCAGUCAGUUAAGCAUCCAACUCUUGAUUUCAGCUCAGGUCAUGAUCUCGGUUCCUGGGUUUGAGCCCUGCAUCAGGCUCUGUGCUGAUAUCACAGAGACUGCUUGGGAUUCUAACUCUCACCUCUCUCUCUGCCCCUCCCCCACUUGGGCUUUCUCUCUCUCUCAAAAUUAAUGAAUAAAUUUAAAAAAAAAUAAAAUAAAUAAAAAUAAAAGCCUGCCUACAAAGAAAAGUCCAGGACCAGAUGGUUUCACAGGUGAAUUCUAUCAAACAUUUACAGAAGAAUUAAUGUCAACCCUUCUCAAAUUUUUCCAAAAAAUUAAAGGGUAAGGAACACUUCCCAACUCAUUUUAUGUGGCCAGCAUUACCCUUAUGCCAAAGUCAGACAUUACAAGAAAACUAUAGACCAAUAUUCCUGAUUAAUAUAGAUGUAAACAUUCUCAACAAAAUUCUAGCAAACCAAAUUCAACAGCACAUUAAACAAAUCAUAGACUGUAAUCAAGUGUGUUUUAGCCCCGGAAUGCAAGGAUUAUUCAACAUAUGGAAAUCGGUAUGCACGUUACACCACAUUACUAGAAUAGCAGAUUAAAAAAAUCAUAUGAUCUCAAUAGAUGCAGAAAAUACAUUUGACAAAAUUUAAUGCCCUUUUAUGAUAAAAAUCUCUCAACAGAUUUAAUAUAGAAGAAACAUACCAUAACAUAAUAAAGCCCAUAUAUGAAAGAUUCAGUACUAACGUCAUACUCAGCGAUGAAAAACUGGAAGAUUUUCCUCUAAAACUCAGAAAUAGGACAAGGGUGCACAUUCUCACCACUCUUAUUCAACAUUGUACUAGAAGACCUAGCCAGAGUAAUCAUCCAACAAAGAGACAUAAAAGGCAACCCAAAUUGUCUCUGUUUAAAGAUUAUGUAAUCAUAUAUAGAAACCCUUGAAGACUACACUGUUAGAACUAAUAAAUUUGGUAUAGUCUCAGGUUGCAAAAUCAACAUACAAAAAUCAAUCAUAUUUAUAUACACUACCAACAAAAUAUUGGAUGGAAAAAGAAAAGGAUCCUAUUUACAAUAGCAUCAAAAACAGAAUAUUUAGGAGUAAACUUAAUCAAGGAAGUGAAAGAUCUAUACAUUGCAAACUAUAGGACACCUGUCAAAGACACUGAAGGAAAACGAAUAAAUAGAAAGGUAUCCCGUGUUCAUGGAUAAGAAAAUUAAUAUUGUUAAAAUACCCAUACUACUCAAAUCAAUCUUUAGAUUUCGUUCCGUUCAAAUUUGUAUUUCAGGUCAGCUGUAACAAAUAUAACUUAUUUAUUACAAAAUAUUAAAGAUGCUGCAUUUUACCAGUGUUUACCAACACUAACACCAAUAAUUGACGCAAACUGUGCUAUUCUAGGAUUUUAUAAAUAACACCUUUAUUCAAUCCAUUGUUAAGCAGAUAAUUGAUUCACAUAUAAUGAAGCCACAAACCAUAAUUUACAUAGCACAUUCCUUGAGGGCAAGUGCGAUCUCAAUCUUCUCUGAGUUCCUACGGUAAGAGCAGGAGUCAAGAAAAAUGUGUUCCGGAACAGUGCCCUCCCUGUAGGCUCUGUCAGACACUUUGGGCUUCGACUUGUUUUUUCCAGCUUGUGUUCCUGUUUUAAUGACAACCACACAAUUCUAUAGGCAUUGGCUCCUUUUUCUAAUUACAGCUCUAUCUGAGUGGGUAAUCCUGAUUCUUUGCAACCUCCCUCGCUCCUAAUUUAACACUUAGCAUGGAAGGAAUUUACACAAUAAACGCAAGAUGAUGAUAAUGAUGAGGAGGCGAUGGCUCUGAAUGCAAUCACAGGAGUGAGUCAAAGUGUCUUCCUUCCUGACACAGCUGUCAGAUCCUGAUGAUGUGCUUCUGUCCCUUGGCUGGGAACUGGUGUUCGAUACAUUUUAUACUGAGUCAGAGUCCUGCAGCUAGUAAUUGGAUCCCAUUGAUUUUUAAUGAGUAUAAUUGUCUCAAGGGUGACUGAAGCUCCUUUUUUUUUUCCUUCCCCCAGUAUGUAAGUUAGCUUGGUUGCUAACACUGGGAACCGCCAAAGGGUUCACCAUAAGCUAAUGCUAGUUAGCCACAAAUUGAAAGGUAGCAGAGUUGAGGAGGAGUGGAGGCAGAAACCUUUGGCAGAGGCAGUGACUAAUCAUGGCAGACAAUUUAUGUGCUCCCAAGCUCAUUGCAAAGGGCAAUAAUUGUUUUAAAUACAAAAGGUGUUGAAUUCUAAUUGGGAGUAAUUGAAACUCACCAAAAUAUUGAAUAAAACAUUAGAUAUCUUAACCGGUGUUAUCUUUACAAUUAUCCUCGGGAGUAAGAGCAGCGCAGCCCAUGAGCUGCGGUAAGCCUCGCCCGAAGCCCAAGUCCCUGCCACUCAUUACUGCCAAGGGUUUACCAGCAAGAGCCCCGGCUAAGCAGAUACCAGGUUCAACUGGUUGUAUCUGCACGGCGCCUCCCGAACGUACGACCGAGCGUGGACGAGCGCAGAGUCCGUUUCCAAAAGAGUGAGCUUUGUAAACGCGACAAGUGCACCGGGCUGGGUGUCUUGCAACAGCAUCCGUGCGCUCUGAGCAAUAUUUCCACAAGCCAUUAUGAUGUUGUUCGGCAUGCCAUCUCUCUGAGCACAGCCCGGGCAGGGGCUAUUAACUGCUAUUUUCCAGCUGUCACCCUCGCCGUGUCUGCUGUCACAUCGUUUGUCGGACAGAUUCCGGCUUUGUGGCACAUCCCCUCCUUCCUCUCCUCGCCCUGCACCCAUUGACAGGCUCUUCUUGUAUUCCAUCUGCCUAUGACACCAAAAUGACAGUCAGAGGGAUGCGGGCGGGAGGCUUAGGUGGCCGAGACUAGAAAAUUUAACUGAGCCUGGCAGAUGGGGAGGACAGUCACAGAUGACACAAAGGUGGCAAUGGAGGAACACACGGGGGAAGCAUACUUUAUGUCCCCUCGUUAGAUCACGAGGAUUGAUGGGAGGCCCUGUGUCCUAUUAUUCCAUCUCAAUGUCCCCAGGACCUAGCCCAGUGCCCAUUCAAUAAAUGAAUAACCCCAGCUUGUUGAAUGAACCUAUACAGUGCAAGUCUAUACAGCAUAGUGUUGUGGUUGACAGCAGAGGCUCGGGAGUUGGAGAGAGCUGGGUUCAAAUCCUGCCUCUACUUGUGCCCAAGAUAUCAUAGUAAAAUAGUCUGAAUAAACAUGAACAAGUACUUAAUUGCUGUAUAUCUUAUUUUCACCAUCUGUAAAAUGGGAGGAAAAGUGGUCCCCAACUCAUAGAUGAGAUAAUGCAAGCAAAUCACAGAACACAGGGCCUAGCACACACUGAGCCCUCAAGAAUCCACGAAGAUAGCCGCCAUCUUACACGGCCACGGUAGGUUCCCAAAAGACAUAUACAAUGGUCAGAGUGCUUCUUUUUUGUGGCAUAUUUAGGGCUGAGCUGAAAGCCUUCUUUGUUACCAGCUCAGACGUUUGAAACAGUUCUGUACCUGGAGUGAGCGGGACUGGUCAAGGGAAAUCCUGAAACGCUCCCUGUGUUCUGUGCUUGAGGCCAGACUACAAAGAUCAGGAUCCAGUUUCCAGACACCCAUCCCCAAAGUCCUCCAGUGUGAUUCACCCUCUGGACGUAGCCUCUCUGAAGGUGAGAGGAGAAAAUAAGCAAGAACAAAGGAAAAGAGAUUCUCUUCCUUAAAGUCUGUGACCGCUGGCCUUACUACCAUCAGUGUUUCCUUUGCACUCAUCAGCCCCAGGAGCAGCCCCGUCCCGCCUGCCUGCUUUGUGGAGGAGGCAUUGCCCCUUAUUAUUUCCUCCUUUAACUAAAAGUCCUAGACCUCAUGAUCAUGACCCAAGGGUGUGAUCCUGAGGACUCCAUUUUGUCUUGGCCCCAUUCGAGUAUUUCCCUCCCAGACACGGGGAGAGAGAGAGGCUGGAAGGUUAGUGAGUGCAUGAGAUGGGGGUGAGGAAGUUGCAAGGGGUUUGGCUGAAAUCUGAAGCCUUGGUAGGCCACCCAACUGAGCUGAGAAAGCCAAUUUAGAGAGAUGGCCGGAUCAGACGUCUGGCUGACCAUAACACGACGGAAGUCUAAAACGUGAUGGAAAAGGGCAGGAUACUGUGAACUGCACACAAAGUCAUGGUCAAAAUAUUAAGGCUUGAUUGGAGAUACAGCACAUGCAUUAGGGCUGGCACUGGGUCAGUUCAGACACGGUCCAGAUGCGGUCCAGAUGUGGUCCAGAUGUGGCCAGAAGCCUGUUAUUUUUGUGAGCCUGUGACCUGAACUCUUGGGCUAUUUCGGAUGUGCUAAGAAACUGACUCAUGUUGGAAGGAUGCUAUUAACAUAAUCUUAUGGGAGCAUUUCCUAAAGAAACUUCCAGGCACCACACCCCUAGAGAGAACAUCCCCUGAGAAGAAGUAAUGCUCUCAAAAGAGGAAACAUAAGGGAAAGUAACAAAUACCCUGGAAGGCAAGCAAGACUCUAUUCACUUUCCACCUUUAAGUGGCCCACAAUAUACGGUGGAAAGUGAAAAAUCUUGUCUCAAUCUCUCCUUUGUACGCUCACUCUCUCACUCUCUCAGUAAAGACAUUUAUGGAGUCAGUACGAUUCUUAGAGUCCUUUCAGAAUGGACAUCCCUUGAGUGCAAACCUCCUCAUUAGCAAGUGAGGAGCAUGUGGUGACGAGAAGAAUAAGAUUCUCCCUUCAGCCCACUUUUCUUUCAUUUGUGGUACAUCUGGAAUAAAACUGAGAAGCACGGUCCAUUGCCCAGACUGAGUGUGGGCAGGAUCUCAGGACCCCAGGGGGAUUCCCAUGCUCUGAGCAGACUGAGUAGAACCCUUUCUGGGCACAGGAGAUGAAGAGGUAUUGGAAAACCCCCUGGAUACGGCAGCUCACGCCUCAGUCAAGGAGAAAAGUAGUCGCAGGGAGGGCCACAGGCAGUGUGAUAGCUACAAGAUGGGUCGGGACCAGAGAGCAUCACUUUGUCUUCUUUGCAGGAGAAGAAACAUGUGUGGCCUUUAUUUAUUUUUAACUGAAUUCUACUGAAUGGCUGAUACUAGCUCACACUUAAGAAGGAAUAGCCUCGGAUCUGCCUUUGGGAUUUGUUUCCUGGAAUCCACAGUGACCACCUGAAGGCUCUGAAAGGGGAGGGCGCCAUGUGGCUCCCUCUAGAGGGCUGAAAUCAGACCCUAUGGCAUGUUCAUUUCAAGCGGUUAGGGGCUCAAGGCCAGGAAGAAGACUCAAGGUCAGGAAUCUUGACUCUGCUUCCUCUGAGAACUUCUUCCAAGGUGCAUCACAGCUGGUGAGACCCUUCUGGUCAUUGGCUUGUUCUGCCAUUUACCACACUGUUGUGUUGGAAGAGACAGAGUGUCACGCACACAAUACAUGCUGCCUUUAAGGUCUUGAAAGAGAUUCAACCUGGAGAAGAAUUUAGCCAGAAGUCAGGACAGUAGGUGAAUCAUGGGGAGAAGGAUUUGGCCUAAGUUGAAGCGACUUCUUUGCCCCACAAAGUGUUGAGCCAGUGGUCAUAUUUUACUAUUUUUAAUGCCUAUUUAUUCAUCAUGAAAAAGACUGAGAGAGAGAGAGAGAGAGAGAGAGAGAGAGAGAGAGAGAGAGAAUACAUGGGGGCAGGGCAGAGAGAGAGGGAGAGAGAGAAUCCCUAGCAGUCUUUGCAGUCAGUGUAGAGCCUGGCUCAGGGCUCAGUCCAGGGAACUGUGAGAUCAUGACCUGAGUCAAAAUCAAGAGUCAGACACUCAACUGAAUGAGCCACCCAGACACCCCACCCAGGGGCCAUAUUUUAAACAAAUGUAGGCCAGCAGGGGAUCGGGGUAGGAUAAAAACUCCCUUUAUCAAGUCUCCCUCUGAUCGAGAACACCAGUCAUGUGGAACUGGUCCCUGGGAGGAAGGUGGAUGAAUUCUCAAAAAGAGGAUCUGCUCUCCCAAAACUGGGUCCUGAGGUUUGAAGCAAGAAUACAUAUGGAGUGAACCAUGCAGACAGCGGUAACAGGACUCCAAAAUAAAAUUACUGGACCGAAGAGAGUCUAGGCUAGUGAUCUUGAGUUCAAGGCAAGGUACUCAAAAUAUGUGGGACUGGCUGUAGUGGGCAGCUAGUGACUGUUGCUGAAACACAUCAGAGCCCAGUCUGUGCUGUGGAGUCGAUGUCUCAACAUGGGAUCGUAUCUGAAAAGGAAGUGAACUGGGGAGUGCCAGGGACACAUAAGCCAUCUGUGCCAGACAAGAGCUGGGCUCAACACCAGCACUGGGGACAGCCAGAAACAAGAACAGUGGCAGAGCAGACCCCAGCAGACCCCCGUUCAGGGCUGGAACUUAGAGAGACCUCUUGCCAUGGGAAAUGGAAGCCUGAGCUUCUGGGGGAAGGACAUACCCAAGACUUCUUAUGAAUGUGACACCUUGCCCUGCAGCCAAGCUAUUUUUUAAAAGCCACGUAAUGAUUUAAACUUUUCAAAACGUUACCAUAGCUGCGCCAACGGUAAGUGUUAACGUAUACCAGGCUCUUCCCAGGACCUACUACAUGGUUUCCAGGGCCUAGCGGAAAAGGGAAAUAGGGUGCUCGUUCAAAAAUUAUUUCACCCAGCACGAAACCAAACACAGGGCCCUUCUCAGCCAAGUGCCACCAGCCCUGGUUGCUCCUAAGCGUCAGCCACCACCCUUAGUGCUUUACAUGUAUUAACUAAAUAAAAUAAAACAAAACAGCCCUGCGAGGCAAGAACCAUUAUUAUCUCCAAAUGAUAGAUUGAAGAAACCAUUAGCAGAGAGGUUAAGGUAGGAACCCAAGAGAUGUCAGGCUCCCGCAAAAUUUUCUCCCAGAAGUCACACUGUCACUCCUGCCGCCCGUGUCACAUUGCUCUUCCGUCAAAGAAGAUCACCCAAGACAGCAUUAUGUGAGAACAGAAUGGCCCACCCUUGAGAGAAUGAACUUCCUGUCCCUGAAGGCAUCCAAGGUAGACCAGUCUCAGGAAUCCAGAGGAGGUGAUGCGCUUUUCUGGGAAUUGAGCAAGAUGAGAAGACAUGAAGUCUAUCGGAUGAAUGACACCAGCGGUUCAAAACUUUACAUAAGAACCAUGCAGGGAGUGUGGAAAAUAUAGACCCUUGGUACAUGGAGGCCAGGGAAUCUGAAUUUGCAAUAUCUACAGGUUCUUUUUUUAAAAUGUUUUUAUUUAUUUUUGAGAGAGAGAGAACUAGCAAGGGAUGGGCAGAGAGAGAGGGAGACACAGAACCCAAAGCAGAUCCCAGGCUCCGAGUUGCCAGCACAGAGCCCAACGCGGGGGCUCGAACUCACAAACUGCGAGAUCGUGACCCAAGCUGAAGUUGGACACUCAACAGACUGAGCCACCCAGGCGCCCCAAUAUCCGCAGGUUCUGAUAGAACUUGCCAACAGGUGAGGCUUAGAGAAAUAAGUCCCUCUACAGGAAGUCAUUUCCAAUUUCCCUUCCAGGUGUAACUUCUUCGUUUUGUAUUAAUUCUGUGAAACGAUUGCAUGUCCAGGAUACCGCUGCUCUUUCCCUGACUGCUAUUCAGCCCUUCCUCCUCCUUCUUUUUCCACAUCAUAUAAUCCAUUCCCACCACCAAGCGGGGGAUCUGCCCCUGCCGUUCCUUAUCAUCAUGUGCUCUGUCACCUUUCCCAGGUUUGGUCUCACCUCUUUGCCUAAAUGUGUGCUUUCCUCUCCUCAGUGUUCUCUCUCACGUGUUUAGGGAUUUAUCAAUUCUCCCUUGAGCUUGAGCAAGUUACUUUCCUUGUCCAUUUCUGCAUCCCAAUCCAUAAAAUGCUGGACUAGAUCAUGUCUGUGAUUCCUCCCAGCCCUAACGACACCUGUUGUUAACAUGAACGUCUGGGAGUAACGCCAUUGUAGUGACCUCCACCCGGGCCCCUCAAUCCGCAGCACUGGCUCUCAGCAUAAAAUCCAGCACCUCGCUGGCACCGGAGCGAGCGAGCUGGCACCUCGCUGCAAGACUCAAGUACAGAAUUCCAUCUGUCAUCCAAGAGAUGCCCUUGUAUAUACCCCGUGGCAAGAUCACAAGGUGUUUCCAUCGGGAUGAUGAAGCUUAUGCAGCAAGCCUCUGGCAUAUUUCUAUGUUUCUGUCACUUACAAGUUGUUAGUCUAUUUAUGAAGCCAGCCAUUAGAUUACAACUCUUUAGAGACCAAGCAAGUAUGUCUUCUUUCCUCAGAGAAAAACAAGGGUGGUGUGGAUUCUGUAUCAUGUUCCAACUGGUGAAGCCUUGGGAUUUUCCUCACCCCUGCUGGGGUUCUAAGCUCUGGACCAGUAGCAGCAGCAGCAUCUGAGAACUUUGACUAGAAAUGUAGCUUUUCAAGGCCCACCGGAGACCUCUGAGUCAGACAGUGUCCUAGGGCCCAGCAAUCUGGUUCCCUGGGCCUCCCAGGUGAUUCUAAUGUAUGCAAAGUUGGAGAACCACGGAUCUGGGAAAACUGGCUGAAAAUGCGGACCAUCAGGCCCCAGUCCGAGAUUCCAAGUCUGUUAUUUGGGGGAUUGGGGUCUGAUAGUCUGUAUCUCUGCAUUUGUACCUUGUCUCUCUGUGGAGACAUACCGUUUUACAUUUAUUUAGUACUGUGUAUAUUACAAAGGGCUUUCACAGGCUUUAAAUUCAAAUUUUCCUCUUCGGAGAAUUGAGGACAGUUUCAGGUGGCUAUUUUGUUAUAGUCUCUUGGUUCACUUUUUAUUCAAUAUCUGUCUUGCUGGUGUUAGAGUUAUUUAUGUGUGCCCUGUCAUUCUUACCAGGUUGUGAGCACCUGGAGGACAGAGGUAUCAUUUUCAUGAGCUUUGCAUAAGCCUGGCUGUAGCCCGAUGCUUUUCCUAGAAAAGAGGAUCAGUAACUAGUUGAAUUUUAUCCAGAUACACAUCUGGACAUUGUUAGUUAAGUUUGGGGGAUGAGAUGCCCAGGUGAGCCCUACAUUCUCGGUUUUCCUGUAACUAGUCCCAUGGUGUGACCUUCAGAACAGCUACAAAGACAAUGACUAUCAACACAAAGUGAAAAGAAAGAGAGAAGGGAAUAACUUUCGCUGGUAAUUAAGCUCAGAAAUACACACACAUCAAUUAUUCAGUUUCUACAAGUCCUCAUUAAUAUAGGCUUCUCAAGUACAGACAGCAUAAUCAUUCAAAUGAGCGCUGGCCUCAAGUUUAUCUUUGCACAUUCGGUGAAAGAACAAUAAAGUGUGUGGGAGGGAUAGUCGUGGUGCAAGAUGGGUUAAACAAUGGAGCGACAGUGAAACGGAGGGCAAUGCCUAACAGAGUACUUAAAAUUCCAGCAGGGCCCAUAAAAGGCAGGCACCACGUACAGACGAGCUUACCUACAUUUAUGCUUCACAUAUACCCAGAAUCAAAAGGUUUGGGAGAGUUGAGACCCAGCAACCUAUAAUUUAUGUACAUUUGCCAUUGGUUCAAACUGCUGCAAUUAACAAUAGACUCCAAGUUUUAUUUUUUGCUUUUUUACCUAUUUGUAUGCUUUUUUAAAAAGUUUAUUUGUUGGGGCACCUGGGUGGCUCAGUCGUUAAGUGUCCGACUUCAGUGCAGGUCAUGAUCUGACGGUUUGUGAGUUUGAGCCCCGUUUCAGGCUCUAUGCUGACAGCUCAGCGUCUAGAGCCUGCUUUGGAUUCUGUGUCUCUCUCUCUUUCUGACCCAUCCCCCCUUGUGCUCUGUCUCUGUCUCUCAAAAAUGAAAACAUGUUUAAAAAAAUUUUAAGUUUAUUUAUUUUGAGAGAGAGAGCAAGAAGGGUAGGGGCAGAGAGAGAGGGAGAGAGAGAGAAUCCCAAGUAGCCUCCCGUGCUCAGCCUCGGACCUCACACGGGUCUCAAUCUUACAACCAUGAGAUCAUGACCAGAGCCAAAAUCAAGAGUCAGACACAACCAACUGAGCUACCCACACGCCUCUGAUUUGUAUGCUUUUUAAGGAGAGCUCUAUAAAUGGAUUUCUGUUGUGUUUUUAGAACGUAUUCUUGGGGACUUGACCUCCCUAAGUUUGAUUAAUCUCUUUCCUUUAUUUUGUGUGUUACCAUGUAAGCCUAGGUCCUUCUGUGAAAAUCUGGUGAAAGGAAUAGUCUAUGAUUCCCUCCCAACUCUGGCUGGGUAGGAAGGAUGAAAUCUGUAGUUGGUACAAGUCUGCAUCAUUUGACAAUACUAAGUUUUGGUGGGGAUGGAGGAAGAGCUACCUGUCUGUCCUUAUGUAUUGGUGUAAGCACUGAGUAGAGAGAUUUGGCAAGAGGACAGUGGCUUAUGGAUGCACAUACAUAAGAGGUAAACAAACAAACAAAACAUGGUUGAGACAGCUCUGUGGCCCAUCAGCUUCAAGAUAAUGGUUGAGGCCGGGCAGAAAGGGAGGACAGUGAAAAUGGGAGGAAGCAGACCUCUGCAAUAUCAUAUUUGUAAGACUUUAUAAAAAAAAAAAAACAAUUGCCAGGGCACCUGGAUGGCUCAGUUAAGUGUCCAACUUUGGCUCAGGCCAUGGUCUCAUGGUUUGUGGGUUUGAGCCCACAUCGGACUCUGCAAUGGUGGUGUGGGGCCUGCUUGGGAUUUUCUCUCUCCCUGUCUCUUUGCUCCUUCCCCACUUGUGCUCUCUCUCUCAAAAUAAAUUGAUAAAAUAAAUAAAACUUAAAAAAAAACCCGAUUGCUAACAUAAUUGCUUUGGAGCCAAUAAAUAAAUAAAAGUUACUCUUACUACAUGGUGCAGAAAGGAACUCUUUCAACUCUGGAUAUGGCUCUGACCUCCUAAUAGGAAAUAGACUAUGGCAGUCUCAGGUCUCUAAAUGAAGCCUGCUCGUCCAAGCUUGUAACUGAAGCAUGAGGUGGUGACACUUUGCAGGACCUCAAAGAGUGGAUGACAGAGCAGGUCUGCUUCAGGGAGUCUGGGGACGCAGUUGGGAGCGAAGGCUGGGAGAGAGUGAGGAGGAGGGCAAAGUGGGCUAAAAAAGACAUUUAUAGAAUGCCUUGUCUGAAAAUCUAAUUUAUGAGAUUUAGGAAAUGAUGAAUGAAACCAAAAUGUAGGUGAGUAUGUGCAUGUACUCACACACCUACACCCCCCCCCCGCCCCCGCACCACACACACAAUGACAAACCUGUCCACAAGGACCCACAAGGAAUCCAGAAGAGGAGAAGAAACUUUUCCUCCUGCCUUUAGAUCUGAGCAAACUGAAGCAUCCUAAAGAAAUCAAGCUAGGGGUGCCUGGGUGGCUCAGUCGGUUAAGCAUCCGACUUCAGCUCAGGUCAUAAUCUCACAGUUCAUGGAUUUAAGCCCCGUGUCAGGCUCUGAGCUGUCAGAGCCUGCUUCAGGUUCUAUGUCUCCCUCUCUCUCUGCCCCUCCCCCACUUGUGCCCUGUCUCUCUCUCUCUCGCUCUCGCUCUCUCUCUCAAAACCAAAUAAACAUAAAAAAAGAGAGACAGAGAUCAAUCCAGACUGCACAAGGUUCCCAGGGCCCCUACACUGGCAUCCAAGUGCAUGGUAAAGAGUCAGGGAGAAUAAAACAGUGUGACCAUCUCCCGGCCUCUGCUCUACUACAAGACCCCCGGUGGCUAAGGUCCCAGAUCACAUCUGCAGUUUGGGUGUCUAUUCUGAUCUAAACAGUAGAUCUUUGGACGAUGAUCUGUGAUAGAAUCCCCCGGAAGCUCAGUUCAAUAAGCAGAUUCCAAAGCCCCAGCUCAGACCCCCUAAAGCAGAGUCUUUGGGGUGACGCCGGGCACUCCACUUGCCUGUGAGCUCCCCAGUGAAGCUGAUGUACAACAAAGCUGGGAAACAGCCAGUGUCCCGCGGGCACCACGCUCAUGAGCUGAUGUUAUCGGGGGGCACGGCACCCCAGAAAGACCCCACGAUGUCUCACUGCAAGCUGGACAAGUAGGCCUGAGUCACCAUCUUAACAUGAAUUACUAAAGUGUGACAUUUUCUUGAGUCACUUCCAUCACAGAGGAGGGUGGCCCUGGAAACGUAGGUGUUCCCCAGAGACACUUCUUAGCAUCUUUGCAACAGUAUGAGACUGGGUGCAGCUCCAGGGCCGUAACAGGGACCAGUGUUACGGGAAGGUAGAAAAUGAGAUCCUCCCUGUGUCAGGAGGCUGGUCAGAAAUGAGGCUGCACCGCACGGUUUGUGCAGGACCAGAGGACCUCACCUCCUGGCCUCCCGCAGCCUCCUGCCAUUCUCCGAAAGGUUCUCCCCACACGGCGGUCCUUCCACUCUGAGCCCUGGGACUCAAGAAGCUACGGAGUGAUAAAUCAAUUAUGAAAUGGAAACCUCGAUUACUGCCUGUCUGCUUAAUUGUUUGACAAGUUAAUUAAUCUCCCAAGCAACUGGGCUCUGUUCUCCCUGUGAAUUGUGGGGAAAUAGCUCUCACAGGUCCCCGAGGUCUUGGCAGUACAGUAUCAAUGAGGCUCCUGGAAAACGAGGAAUAAUAAGCAUUUAGUGGGGUCAGCGCCUCAACAUAGGAAUGAAGAGGUUUGCUCCAGCUCCCGCCCAGAGGCGGUUUUGUCACUAAUUUUUUGGCUACUAAUUACAGCCUGCACUUGUCUUUAUUUGUUUGUUUGUUUUUAUUUCUCUUCCAAGAGACACAUUUCUUUCCUUUCAGAUGAGUCCCUGUGAUUCAAAUGGCCAAUACUUCCAGAUCGUGAAAAACCCGAUGGGGGUGUCAGACGACUCCCUCUUGGGGGGGGGGGCUGUGCCAUGAGAGCUGCCAUGAUGUGUGAGGACGGACCUUCUGGACGGUGAAGAUAGGUAUGUGUCGUGGGCCUCUGUCUGGCUGCAUGAAGUAGCUACUGCUUUCUCCGCCUUGUGACCACAUCACACUGCCCUGUCAUCUGUGGCCGUUAGAAACUCCAAAGGACAGAGUGAAGUUGAGAAACUAGAUUAUGCCCAAUAACUUUCAAGAAUUUCCCUGCACCAGACUCACCUGGAGGGCUCGGUUAAAAUUCAGACAACUGGAUACCAACUAGACCUACCUGUGUUGGAAUUAUUAGGGACCAUACUCAGCAGCAUAUAAUAAGCUUCCUGGAUAGAUUGAGACCCACUUGGGUUAGAGUGGGGGAGAAUUGGCUGCUGGUGGCUAUACCAAACAAUUCAGAAACACACUCCCUAAUUAGUACCAUACCUGUUUGUCAUUUUACUCUUUAGUAUUAUUUUGCUUAUAUCUUACACCCUGCCCCUGGGCCUUUGCACCAGCUGUUACCUCUGUCUCCAAGGCUCUUUGCCACCAAGCAUAGCCCAAUGCUUCGUUCAGGUUAGCCCAUAUGACCAAGCAUAGUCCUCUUGUUUCAUUCAGGUCUCGGUUCAAAUGGCACAUCCUCACAUCCUCAAAGUCUUUUCUGAUCUCUAUCUAAAACACGACUCCUACCUAAUGGGAUAAUGAAACUUUAUAAGCUUCUUCAUAGUGCAUAUCACUACCUACAAUUGUAUCAUAUCUUUGUUUGCUAUCUAACUUCCCACUAAGAUUUAAGCUCCAAAUGGGCAGGAAUUCUCAUCAGUUUUGUUCAGUGCCUUAUAUGAAGUGCUUAGAACAGUGCCUAAAUUAUGGGCACCACCCAGUAAUGUUUAACAUCUGUCCAGGGAAUGAAGCAGCGAGUGAAAGAUGAGGCAUAAAUUUGCCAGUAGUGGUAAAUGCCAACUUCACUUAUGUUGGCAAAAUCACAGUUAGAGAGACCAUUAUGGAUCCUAACAGUUUAAAACAUAACAAGUUUGGGAAAAACAGGACAUAAAAAUGUACAAAGGAGAACAGAACUGAAAAUGCAGCCUAUCGAAAUACGUGGGAUUCACCUAAAGCGGUGCUUAUAGGGAAAUUUAUAGCACAAAAUGCUUACGUUAAAAAAAAAAAAAGGAAGAAUGGUCUCAAAUCUAUAAACUAGGGUUCCACAUUACAAAACUGUACACAAAGAGACGAUUAAACCCAAGCUGAAAUCUAAACAUAAAAACAAUAGAGUAUAUAAAUGAAACCAAAAGCUGGUUUCUUCAAAAGAUCAAUAAAAAUGAUAAAACCCUAGCGAGAUUUACAAAGGAACAGAAAGAAAAGACACAAAUUACCAAUGAAUUUGAAAGAGCAGAUAACACUACACAAUAUGGCAGACAUUAAAAAGAAUAAUUCAUAAGGGAAUCAGAAUCUAUAAUUAACUCUAUGUACGUAAAUUUGAGAAAUGAGAGAAGAGGAACCAAUCCCUCAAAAAGCAGGAAGUACCAAAACUCACCCAAGAUGAAACAGUUAACCUCAAAUUCCUAUAGCUAUGAAAUAAUUUGAAUGUGUAGUUAAGCCUUCCAAAAAUGAAAUCUUCAAGCUCAGUUAAUUAUUGCAAAACUCUACCCAAAAUUUAAAGAUGGUAUAAUACCUUUUCUCUACAAGCAAUUCAAGAAAAUCAAAGAGGACAGAACAUUUCACAUCUUCUUUUAUAAGUCAACCAUGACUCUGUAACAGAAGCCAAAGCCAGUGCCAAAAUUGAACGAUACGUAUCAAUAUCCCUCAUGAACAAAGAAAGACCAGAAAAACUCCUAACGACAUAUAAGCGAAUCAACAGAUCAGUAUAGACAAAUAAUAAAAAUCACAGCCAAGUAAUAUUUGUCCUGGGAAUGUAAGACCAGGUCAGUGUUCUAAAGCCUAUGAACGUUAAUUCACUGUUUCCUGUAAAAAUGGUCUAAAGAUGAACCACAGGAUCAUAUCAGUCAACGCAGAAAAAGCAAAGACUGUUUUCUUUUUUUUAAGUUUAUUUAUUUAUUUAUUUUGGAGGGGGGAGGGAUUGUUGGGGGCAGAGAGACAAGGAGAGAGGGAAUCUCAAGUAGCCUCCAUGCUGUCAGAGUACAGCCAGAUGCAGGGCUUGAUCCCACGACCCUGGGAUCAUGACCUGAGCCAAAAUCAAGAGUCAGAUGAUUAACGGACAGAGCCACACAGACACCCGAGAGCAACAAUUGUUAAUAAAAUACAUCUACCCAUGAUAAAAAAAAACCCUCAACAGAUUAGAAAUAGAAGGGAACUUCUUCAACCUAACAAAAAACAUCCACAUAGAACACAUCAUUAUACUUACUGAUGACAGACUCAAUACUUUCCUCCUAAGAUUGAGAAGAGGAUUUCCCAGCCCACUGGUCUUACUUAGUGUAGCACUGGGAUUCAUCGUUAGUGCAGUGAGAAAAAAAGAUAAAAGGCCUACAUGAGGAAUAAAAAAUUAAAACUCCCUAUUUGAAUUCAACAUGAUUUCUGUUUAGAAAAUUUCAAAGACUUUACAGAAAACAAACCAAAAAAAAAAAAAAACUCUUAAAAUUAAUAAGUGAGCCUAGUAAAGUCAUAGAAUAAAAAAUGUCAUAGAUAUGACACCAAAAACAUAAUCCAUGGAAGAAAAACUGACAAACUGGUCUUCCUAAAAAUUAAAAAAAUCAUGCUAGUGGAAGGCACUCUAAAGAAAGAAGACAAGCUAUAGACUGGGAGAAAGUAUUUGCAAACCACACAUCAAAGGGCUUGUAUUUAGAAUAUAUAAGGCACUCUCAACAUUCAGUAGUAAGAAAAGAAAGCCAAUUUUUAAAAGAUUCAAAAGCAAAGACUUCCCCAGAGAUUAUUUAAGCAUGACAUCAUCACAUGAAAAGAUUUCCAACACCUUUAGCCAUUACAAAAAUAUCAAUUAAAACCAUGAUAAGAUCCCCUGCACAAUCCCUUAGAAUCACUACCUGCACAAUCCCUUAGAAUCACUAAGGCUAACACGGAGCUAAGACAACAAGCGUUUGAGAGGGUAGGAGGCAAAUAGAACUCUACCUUGCUGGUGUGAAUGAACAAUGGUACAGCCACUUUGUGGAACUGUCAGUUUCUUGCAAAGGUAAAUACACACUUACCAUAUGACCCUGGAAAAUAAACUUAUGUUCACACAAAAACUUGCACACAAAGCUUUAUAGCAACUCUAUUCAAAAUUGCCAAAAAUUGGAAGCAACCCAAAUGUCCUUCAGUUCAUGAACAGAUAAAUAAAAUGUGGUACAUUCACAUAAUAACAUUCAUAGAAUGGGAUACUAUUUAGCAUUAAAAAGGGAUAAACCACUGAUUCACAAAAUAUUUGAAUGGAUCACACAGACAUUAUACUGAGUACAAGAAGCUAGUCUCAAAAGGUUAUAUACAUUCCCCUUCCAUUUAAAUAACUUCCUCAAAAAAAACAAAACAUAGUGAUGGACAGCAUAUCAGUGGUCACCAGAGUUAAGGUUGUUGGAGGACGCAACUAUGAAUGGAUAUCACAAGGCAGUUUUGGGGGAUGACCAUUCUGUAUUGCAAUUGUGGGUGUCACACGAAUUUGUACAUACGUUAAGAUUUUUAUAAUGUACAGCCAAAAAAGUCAGUUUAAUCACAUGAUCAUGUUAAAACUAAAAUUAAUUCUUAAGAAUUUACAUAGGAAAUAGGAAAAAAGAAAUGAAAAAAAACUAGGUCAAAAAGAGAAAAGAAAAUCACAGGUGCACCCAGCUGGCUCAGUCAGAAGAUCUUGGGGUGGAAUUUGAGCCCCACAUUGAGUGUAAAGAUUACUUGAAAAUAAAACCAUUAAAAAAAGAGAGAGAAAAGAAAAUCACAAUGUCUUAGGGUCCCUCUUGGCAACACUGGACAAUUAAUGACUAUUCCCCAGUUCUCAGCUUCCAACAUGGUACCCAGAUAUGGCAAAAGGGCUUUCACCUGGAACAGGGAUUCAGAACCACCUGGGCAAAGACUGGAUUUGGGGUUCCACUCAAUUUUCUGUCCCCAUUAUCCAUUAGCCUCUAAGGUUUUGACUUAUUGAUCUUUCCCAACAAUCUCUAGACCAGUGGAAUCAGCCUUGGUAAAAUAGUAGAAUAUUAUGAUCACCUGGUUUAGAAAAUCCCAACACCUCGGGGUUUUCAUCUCUCAGACAGCCCCCAGCAUUCUUAUUUGUUAAGCAUUUCUCAGGUGAGCCUAACAUCAAAACCACUCUGGACCUAUGAGGAUAACACAACAAAGAAACAAAGAAAACAAAACAGAAACAGACUGAUAAGUACAGAGAACAUAACUGAUGGUUGUCAGAGGGGAGGGGAUGGGGAAGUAAAGGGGAUUAAGAGGUACAGUCUUCCUAGUCAUAAAACACAUAAGACACAGGGAUGUAAUGUACAGCGUAGGGAAUAUAGUCAGCAAUACUGAGACAACUUUAUAUGGUGGCAGAUGGAAACUAGACCUAUUUCGGUGACCAUUUGUAAUAAAUGUAUUUUGUAUAAAUAUCGAAUUGCUACGAUGCGUACCCAAAACUAAUACAAUAUUGUAUGUCAAUUAUCCUUCAAUUAAAAGAAGAAGAGAAAAAGAGAGGCACAGAGGUAUCGUGUAUGGGUAGAGCUAUUAAUCUAGUCGGAGAAAUGGGAAGCAAAUAGGCUUUCCAGGACGAAGAGAGCUAUGUUGGGAUUUGAUGAGGAUCACUUUCCAAGACUGGAUGAGAAUUUUGAGUCUUGGGACAGAGCAAAUAUUAUCUGUGUGUGAAAGGAUUGUGAAGGAUUAUUGCCAGAGGGAAGAUUAUGAGAGAGUGCACAAAUGAGUUUUCCUCCUCCAUCAAGAGAUGGGAUUCUCUUUCCCUCCUUGAGUCUGUACUGAAGUGACCGGCCUCAGCCAACAGGAAAUCGGUGAUUAUAAAACAUGCGUGGACCUGAAAAGCACCUGUUUCAGCUGCUUUUGAAACAUGUUGUCAUCAUGUCAUCUGGAGAUGUUGGAGAAAGGGCAUGUGGCCCAGUGGCCCCUGUGACCCAGCUGUCAUCCUGUCAACUUCCCGAAACAGUGUGCUGAGUUGCCCGGAAGCUGACCACAAGUGAGUGAGUGAGUCCAGCUUAGGCCAGCAGAGACAGAGCUAGCCCAAGCCAACCCAAAUUCACUCUCAGAAUCAAGAGCUCAAUAAAUGGCUGUUAACUUAAAAAAGAAAAAAGAAAAUAAUAUGACUUCGGUUGCUUCUGGAAGUUUAGUAGUCAGUCAAAGUCACUGCCAUUAUCAUGCCAUCCAAAGUGUUGAUGGCGAUUCCAACCAAGGCCGCAGGUCUAGUUCAGUUCUAGGCCUGACUGGAGCUGGGAGCACAUAUCUAGGGGCAAGAGGAGGCAUGGUUUCACAGAGGUCAUGGGGCGGAGGGAGGGCUCCCGUCUGGUUGCAGCUUUAAAGCACCCAACAAUGUGUUGCAAGAUCAUGAAAUGGGAAGAAAGAACAGAUCUCCAAUAACUGAAAAAUUCUGUAUGAUCCAAGCCUCUCCACAUGCUCAGUCUCAAUGAAUCCUCACAAAAGUCCUCUAGGAAAAUGGCUUUCAUCAAAUCAAGCAGUCCACCCAAGGCCCUGCGUCUUGCACGUGUGAGCGGUGAGGCUGGGCUUGGAAGGGCUAACACCCUUAACCACUGAUCAGUCUCGCAUGCAGCAGAAGGAACGCCCCACUUAGCAUUACAUGGACUUGUAGCCAAAUUUUCUCUGUAGCACCUAUUAGGUACAGACUGUGGGCAAUUAUACUUCAUCUCUCUGCACCUUAGUUUCUUAAUCUGAGAAAGCGGGGAGCGAUAAGAGCUAUCACUUAGGGAAAACAUAAAUGAGUUACAAGAUAGAAAUGUCACUCAGUAAAUGUUUCCUGUUUCUCAUGUUCUAUGAUAGGAUAUUGGCUUUCUGUAGGUCCUGAAGUUUAGGCAUGAAGUGCAAAGCUUUACUGCAUCACUCUGUAAUCCUAGGGCAUUUCUUCCACUGACGUUUGCUAUUUCUCUCUCUCUCUCUCUCUCUCUCUCUCUCUCUCUCUCUCACACACACACACACACACACACACACACACACUCAUUAUUCACAGCUUUCAAAAGACACAUCUGCUCUUACCCUCUCUCUUUGUUCCAGACAGCACACACACUUUGCCUGGGGCCAAACUCCACUUGCUCACCUGCUCUCUGCUACAUCUGCUCAUACACAUUUGUACUCACAUCUGCAGCAGCACCUUCACUGAAAUCAUUCCCCUACUCCCCCUCUCCUCCCCAUCAGAGCAAGGCCCCGGGUCCCACCUGAACGAGGCUUUGUAAAAUAGCCCUCCCGAAGCUGUCGUCUUCAGUUAGUGGGGAUAAUGGGAUUAUUCUAUCUGUGUAAUAAUAACAUGUUCAAUUUAAAGCGAAAAAAAAUCUGAAGCCACUUAAAAGCUGCUGUUUGGCGCUGAUAUAUUAUUUCAGUAAUGAAUAAUCACUGAAGAUAUUAUUCUGGAUGCAGUUACCAUGCAGUGAUGUGAAUAAAAUGCAUUAGAUGGAAAAUUGUAUUUCAAGUAAAUAUAUGCACUGGUAGAAAUGUAUCACCACCCAUUAAUAUGUAUUAAUUCAGAACCAAAUGCCAACUGGAGUGCGCCUACAUGGGUUUGAAUGGCAGGCAGUGAUUUGGAAGUGGGGGGAAAUAGGUUUGGAUUUGGUCAAAGAGACUGAGAAAUGAUAAUGAGGGUUGUGGUUCAUGAUUCAAAGUGAACAGGCGACAGAGCGGGCCUGCGAAGCACCCCUCCCACAUCUCCUUCAGAGACUUUAUCUUUGACUAAAGUCUACUGAUAACUGACAUUUCUGAAGCAGCGGCUCUUUCCCCUCUCCCACAGUCUGCAUUUUCAAAGAUCCUUUCCUUUGGAGAGGAAACCUGUAAAAAACAAUUUUUUUUGCUAGGGUAACUACUUUGCAUCUUAGCUCCUUCCCCCCUCCUCUCUCUCUCUCUCUCUUUUGCUCAGUGCACAACAGGAGCAACUGUCAAGCAUAUCAUCAUUAAGAUGAGCUUCUCCAAUUCUGAAAUCUGCAGGGGCUUCCUCAUUAGCAGAUGGCUCCAGAUCCAAACUGCAAAGGCGGCUUCCCCAUUUUUAAAUGGGACACUCUCAAGCCCUCCGCUUUUCUCGUUUUAUGGUUUUCUAGGGUACUCCAAAGACUUAAGGACCCCAAAAGUAUUGGCACCUUAAGAGGGGCUUUCUCAGGCAUGCAUUUUCUCCUAUUUAGUGCAAUUUUAUUUAAAAAGGUACAAGUGUGAACCUCUCUGUCAUUACAAGAUACCCUAGAAAAAGUGAAAACACAAAAUAAUAUUUCUUAAAGCACGUAGUCAACAAAAGAUUAAUAACCAAAAUAUAUAAAGAAUAGCCAAAAUAUUAACAUAAAAAAGAAAGACAAUAGGAAAAUUGACAAAGACUAGACCAGGGGUCUCACCAAAAAUAUAUUUAAAAAAAAAAAAAAAAAGGUGAGAAAGAAAGAAAGAGAAAAGAAAAUCCAAGUGGCCAAGAAAUCAACAUUAAAGAUUUAAAAAAUGGAAAAUAAAUCCACAAUAACAUAUCUUCGAACACCCAUCUGAUGGAAAAAAAAUAAUAAUCCAUUGAUACCAAGUGGAUAAAAUUGCAGAACAAGAAAAGUUCUCAUACACUACUGAUGGGAAUGUAAAUUAGUAAAAUCUAUUUUUUUUAAUUUUUUUUACAUUUAUUUAUUUUUGAGAAACAGAGUGUGCCAAAGCAUGAGUGGGGGAGGGGCAGAGAGAGAAGGAGACACAGAAUCUGAAGUGGGCUCCAGGCUCUGAGCAAGCGGUCAACACAGAGCCUGAUGCAGGGCUCGAACCCACAAACUGUGAGAUCAUGACCUGAGCUUAAGUCAGAUGCUCAAUCGACUGAGCCACCCAGGGGCCCAGUAAAAUCUUUUUUUUUUUUUUUUAAUUUUAAUAUGUUUAUUUUUGAGACAGAGAGAGAGACAGUGUGAGCACGGGAGGAGCAGAGAGAGAGGGAAAGAGAAUCCCAAGCAGGCUCCGUGCUGUCAGCACAGAGACCAACUCAGGGCUCGCUCCCCAGAACCAUGAGAUCAUGACCUGAGCCAAGAUCAAGAGCCGGAUGCUUAACUGACCCCAGUAAAUCUCUUUCAAAACAGUAUGGCACUGUCUUCUACAGCUGAAGGCGUUCAUGUUCUAUGCUACAAUCGUUCAAGUCUCAGGCACCUACCCUCGAGAAACACAUGCAUGUGUACACAAAUACCCAUAAGAGCACUGCUCAAAUAUUGCCUCAAACUAAAAUUACCUGUAGAAUGGACAGAAUACGGUGUAUCCACACAACCAGGUAGCCUGCAACAAUGAAGAUGACCAAGCUACAAUUACCUGCAGCAAGAUGAACAUUCCAAACAUAAUACUGAGGUAAAAAAAAUAAUAAUAAUAAUAAGAUCCAAAAUACAUACAAUGCAAUCGCUUUAGGUAUUGUUCGAAAUGAGGUAAAACUAAACCAUAUUGUUUAAGGAUACACGCAUUGUGAUAAAGUCUAAGGGGAAACAAGGAAAUGACAAUCCCUGGGUUAGGAGGGUGGGUACCUCCACGUGGAAGAAAGAGAGAGGCACAUCACAUGGAUUCUGGGUGCUGGUGCUGUUCUAGAUGGUGACUUACACGGAUGUCGGGUAUUGGCUUCAUAACCAUUUGAACAAAUACACACAUCACCACUUCCUAUUCUCACGCCACUAUGCGUGUUGUGGUUUGCCGUAAGUUAAUGGUAAAAAUGCAACACAAACAGGCACAUUUCUCCAGCUGACUAUUGAAGGCGCCCCGGUUCUAGCCUCCCAUCUCUUUCCAAACUUUGGUUUGCGAUUUCAGCGUGCUGGCCUGUCCUCCACCCAGCCCUUCUCUGCUGCCUGCAGUGCCUUCUUCCACUGUCCCAAAGGUAGGCUUGCUCCAGUAAGAUGAGAGAAGGCAGGGCCCACUCCCUUCUCCUUGACACGUGGUCUCCUGAGCUCUCCAUGGUACCAAUGUCUCCCGGCCCACCGCUGCGCCUUCUCAUCGCCUCAGGGUUCCCCUUCCUCCCCUCCACUCAAUCUUGGCUCAGCCCAGGUCUCAGCCUUGUGCCCCCCCCCGUGAUCUCCUUCCUUUCCAUCAGCUCUCCUCUCCUCUCCUCUCCCUUCUCUCUUCCUUGAUGGUCUCAUCUAGACUGUCGGCUUUAAAUAUCCUCUCUGAUCACCAUGGCUUAUAUGGUUUCUGCACUCCUACUGUCAACGUGGCACUCGAAUUUGUAUGUUUAAGAAGAAUAUCAGACUGAACAUGUCUGGAACAAGAAUUCUUGCUCCCCAAACCUGCUGUCGAAGCCGCCACCCCCCACCCUUCUCACUCUAGUUAAAUAGCUGUUUCAUUAAACCAGUUUCUUGAGUAAAAACCCAGGAGCCAAACCCAAGUUUCCUUUUCUCUCACUCCCUUUUCUCUGACGUUCCAUAUAUUGCCAUGUGCUAUCACUUUUUUUUUAAUAUUUUUUAAUGUUUAUUUAUUUUUGAGAGAGAGAGAAAGAGACAGAGCGCAAGUGGGAGAGAGGCAGAGAGAGAGGAAGACACAGAAUCUGAAGCAGGCUCCACUCUCUGAGCUAUCAGCACAGAGCCCAACACGGGGCUGGAGCUCAGGAACUGCGAGAUCAUGAUCUAAGCCGAAGCCGGAUGCUUAACCAACUGAGCCACCAGGCGCCCCUGCCAUGUGCUAUCACUUCUGCCUGCUAAGAGGGAUCUUGACUCCAUGCUUUUUUCCAUCCAACUCAACUGCUCCCACUGUCGGUCAGGCCCCCGUCACCUGUAAUUAACUGUUGCAAGUCCUCUUGGUGAGACUCCCACCUUCCACUUGAGCACACACCUCCUGCAAUCCAUUCUCUGCCCAGCAGUUUUAGAGAUCUUCUUUAAAUAAACAAGGCAGCACUCUACUGUUAGCAACCUGUCAAUAGUCCUCUGUCACCCUUAGAAUGAAAUCUGCCUUCCACGCCAUAAGCGACAUCUUCCCUGCCCAGUCCACCAACCUCCCGCAUCUUCAGUCUUGCACGCAGACACACUUUGCUGUAGACACAGUGACCCUUUUUCUGAUUCCACCGAAGUAAGAGCUUUCCCUGUGACCUCAAAGCCCCUGAACUCCCCAAUGUCCUCUUCUAGAACGCACUUUCUCCAGGUCUGCAGUGUCUGACGCCUUCUCCUAAUCCCUUCAAAGAGGCUCUCCCUGACCAGCCAUUCUGAUGUGUCUCCCCCUGGCACCUCCGUGCGAACCCCUUGCUUUAUUUCAUUGACCCUAAUUGUUUACUAAAAUAUCCUAUUUGCUGAGUUGAGGUCUUGUCCCUUGUUAUGUCCCCAGUUACUAAAAUAAAGCUUGACACUCCCAUAAGUAUUGACUGAAUGAAAGAUAGAAAGGCAGGGGCUUUUCCUAACUUUACAUCCUUGUCUUUUCCAGAAUUUACCACAUUCUUAAGAGUAGAUAAGAGUCAAUUUUCAUAUUUUAUGAAAAUAUGCAAAUGUAACUGAAUUUUUAAGGAUGCUCACGAUUACUGUGAGUGGCCAUUGUACUGUGUGGUGUGGAUUAUGGUGAAUGAAAAUUCUCCUUUGCUGCCAGUGUAUAACUCAAGAGAAUUUGGAAUUCUUUGGAAUUUGUUGGCAGCAAUUAUCAGAAACUUUAAAAAUGUGCAAAGUCCAUUACAUCUACUUCUAAGAUUUUGUCCUGGGAGAGGGGAGCACAAACCAUAUGAAUAUGUACUUAUAAUAACAAAACAAAAACUAAAUAAAUACAAAAAUUCUGAAAACAAUUUGAGUAUAUACAAUAGCUAGGAUCUGGGUAAUAAGCUAUCUUGGGGCACCUGGGUGGCUCAGUCAGUUAAGCUUCUGACUCUUAAUUUCACUCAGGUCAUGUUCUCAUGGUUGGUGAGUUUGAACCCUGCAUGGGUCUCCACACUGAGCGCAGAGCCUGCCUAGAAUUCUCAGUAUCUCUCUCUCUCUCUCUCUCUCUCUCUCUCUCUCUCUCUCUCAAAAUAAAUAAGUAAACUUAAAAAAAGCUAUCUGGAAAGUUGAAUAUCUUGAAAUCAUUAAAAUUAUGUCAUGGAAAGCUGAUCUUCUAAGUUGGGAAAAGAUAUUUACAAUGUGAUCAUAUUUUCAUUGAAAAAAGUCAUCCUAUUUUAAUAUAUAAAAUUAUGCAUAAUGAAAAGGUUGAAUAGGCAUACGACACAAUGUAAGCAGUGGGUGGCAGACUUGUGAGUGAAUAUCUGUAUUUUCAAAAACAUCUACAAUGAAUUAUAUGUUUCAAUUUAUAAAAAUAACAAUGUAUUUGGUUCUUAAAAUAUAUAUGUAGGUAUACAACGGGAAAAAAUGGCACAUAUCUCCACUAGAUAACCCUUGCUGAUUUUUUAAAUGAAAAGUCUUCACAAUGUGAAAAAAGCAAAGCAGUAUAAAAAAUGAAAGCUUCCCUAAUAUGUCCUUCUUCUGACUUCAUUUUCCCUUCCCACCAGAAUCUCUACUAACAUUUUCUUUUGCAUAAGAAAUGUUUCUCCAUAAUGACUUUAUUUUCUCAAUAGCUGGAGAAUAUGCCAUUGUAAGGAUGCGCCAUAAUUUAUUCAACUACUGUCAUAAUGAGGGACAAUAGGAUAGCCAUUGGGAGUUUUCACUAUUAUGAAAGAUGAUGUACUGUGUAGGGAAACCUCCAGAAGUUUAACUGCUGAGUCAAUGUGUGUGUACCUUUUUAUAUUUUGGCAUAUAGUGCUAAACUGCUCUCCCAAAACACAAGUGUCAAAUAAUAUUUGUGAUUUGCUUUAGGGUUGCCUUUUAUGUCAUAAUGAUAUCAGAGGAUGUUUCAUUUGGUCGAUUAAUUCAUAAAGAAAACUAGAGCUUCUGCGUUCUCAGGAUGGGGAAUUUAGACUAGGUGAUUUGUAAUGCCACUUCUAGCACUAAAGUUUUAAGGAUUCCAUAAGCCACACGAGGAAACACAAGAAAAUAUCGCCAGAACUACACAGUAAGAAAGAAAACUUGGGUUAAGAGAACGAGCACUGUAAUGAGAGUCCAUACUCAGUGCUCUAGCUCCAUAGUAAACAUGUGAGUGACAUAGAGGUUCAUGAGCCCUUGAAUUUGGGAACAGGUCACAGUGUCAUUCAGGACUGACCUUUGAAUCCAAGAAGUGCACUCUGCACAUAAUCCACAAUGGCCCAGUGUUGUGAGCCCACAAUGGAUGGCAUGCGAUGCCCCGUAGCAAGGGACACCAUGUGUAAAGGUUACUGCAUGGCCCCGUGGUGUCCAUUUUGUGGCUGAGCCAUUGUGUGUUCAUUGGGGUAUGUAGGCAUAGGGGGAGUAGGUCAGUGACACUGGAAGCAUGUGACAUUCACUUGGAAAAUUCCAGGCAUGCAAGUUAAUUAUGAAUGACCUCUAACAUUUGAAAGUUCAACCCUAGGUCUUUUCUACCCAGGCAAGGUGACGGGAGCAAAUCAAGUGUCUGUUGCCCAUUAUCCUCAUAAACAGCCAGUGGAUUCGUGGUCAAAAGGAGACUGUCUUUUCUUUUGAUUAACCUGAAUUCCUUGGUACAAAUUGGAUUUGCCUAUUCUAGCUAUCCUCAGGUAUGCCUGAAUCCCAAUGAAUUUUACCAUUUUAAUAAAUAGCAGUGUCAGUGUGAUUGCUCUUAAAACCCAGCCACUUGUGGAAUAAAAUAUAUGCAGAUUAUACAACAAUCCUGUAUAAUUAUUUCAGAGCAGACCUAGUGAGAAAAUCCUUGUUGUUAAGAUGAUGAGAUAAUUAUGGCUCGAGAUACAGCUCUCUUCCAGAGGGAAGAAAGAGGUUGGUCAUUUGGGUUGCUAAAUAUUACAAAUGUUCCUGGGGAGAGGGAAACUAGUGGCCUAGAGCUCAGAGAGAAGAGAGGAGGCUGUGUUGUGGGGGGGGGUAGAACACAGCAGUGUGUUACGAACGAGUAGGAAGUGGUGGGUUUAGGGCUUUGGGACUGAAGCCGAUUGACCCAGAACGGAACUGAUAGAUCACGAUAGCAACAGCAAGCAACAGCUAACACUCAGUGCUGACUCCGUGCCAAGGACCAGCUUUCUGCAGGCAAGAAAUCACUCAAUUCCCAUGAAAAGCAUUUCGUGUGGAUACAAUUAUUGAGUCCACUGUAGAAAUGAGAAAACUGAGCCCAGGAGAGAAGUAGUUUGCCUGCCAUCAUAUAGGUAGUGAGUGGUGGCACCAAGCUGGAAACCAAGAAAUUCUGACUUGAGGGCCCCUCCCUGUCAACAAAUCUGCCUGGGAAUCAUGAGACCAGGAAAUCCAAAGAUCUUAGGGAAGUUGUCACAUCAGAUCACCGUUUUUGACAGUUUUCUCUCCAAUGUUCCAAUGAUGGCUUUGUCACUUACAAAGUUUGUUUAAUUUCUCUGGACAACAUCUUGAGAAGAUUCUCUGACCCCCAGUUUUCUCAGAAAACUGUGGCAGGGACAAUCAGUGGAUCUUGAAAGACUCACACCCCCUUCCAGGUGUAGAACUAUGGCGGAAGAGCGACUGCCAAGCCAGGGACUCCAUUUCCCAGCCUGCCUUGCAUGUCGGGGGCAUCACAUGACCGCUUCUGGCUAAUGGAAUGUGAGCAGAAUUAAUCCUUGUCACUUCCAGGGUGAAAUGCAUAAAUAUCUGUGUGUCUUCCCUACACUCUCUUCCUCUCUGGCAGUCACGGAGUUCACACGGUACCAAAGGUGACAAUGUCCUAAGAAUGAAGAAGCCUGGAUCCUUGAGUCACUGGAUACUCAGGACAGUGGGAAUUGAAAAUUUUACACAAGAAACAAAAUGAAUAUUUAUUCUAUUAAGUCCAGGAAAACCAAGGUUCUUUGGUAUAGCACUUAGACCUACAGGGUUAUUUGGGGACUUAAAAAAGGCAAACAUAUGCAAAACGACUAUUCAGUGUCUUACACACAGUUCCUUUAAAUCACUUCAGAGCCCUAAAGGUGAAGGGGUGUUUUGUCAUGCAUAACAAGCCCCUUUCCAGCACAACUGAGUGUAUGUUAACAAGGUAACUUCUGGAAAGCACCUAAAGCUGGUAGCCAAUUGGCAGGGGAACCAACCAUGAACACAGGGGUAGAAAUUUCAGUCCUCUCCCCAGCUCCGAUUUCUGGGAGGAGGAGGCUGGAAGUUGAAUCAAUUAGCAAUGGCCAAUGAUGUCAUCCGUCAUGCCCAUGUGAUGAAGCCUCCAUAAAAAUCCAAAGGAAGGGAAAUCAAAGAGCUUACCAGAGUGCUGUCGUAUGCCCAGCAGCUUAUGCUGGCCUCAAACUUCACAUGAACAGAAACUCCCUCGUUUGGGACCCUGCCCCGUGUAGAUCUUCAUCUGGUUGUUGAUUUGUAUCCUUUAAUAUCCUCAGUAAUAAAUCAGUAAUCCAGUGAGCAAAUGUGUUUCGAGAUUUCUGUGAGCCUCUCUAGCAAUUUAAUUGAACAUCAGGAGGGGGUAAUGGGAGCCUUCAAACUGUGGUCAGUUGGUCAGAAGCACAGUAACAAACUGGGCUGGUGACUGGCAUAUGAAGGUUAGGGGAUGUGCCAUCUUGUCUAACUGAGCCCAUACAUAGAGUGUGGGAUCUGGUGCUAUCGCCAGUAGAUAGUGUCUUAUUGACUUGAAUUGUAGGACACCCAGCUGGUAUUGGAAAAUUAUUUGGUGCUUUGGGGAAAUCCCUCCCCCCCAACACACACACACUCAGAUUAGGUCCAGAACUUUUAUUAUUUUUUUAGUUUAUUUAUUUUAACACAUAGAGAGAGCAGGGGAGGGGCAGGAGAGGGGUAGAGAGAGAGAAUCCUAGGCAGACUCUAUGCUGUCAGCACAGAGCCCAAUGUGGGUCUUGAACUCAUGAGCUAUGAGAUCAUGACCUGAGCAGAAACCAAGAGUCAGACAUUUAACAACUGGUCCACUCAGGCACCCCUGUGUCCACAACUUUUAACCCUAAAAUUAAGUCCCUCAUUUUUUCCAUGAACCUAUUCCAAAAAAAGCUAUUGCAUAUCUCAUGGCUAGGAUUUUAUGAAUAAAGACAAUAUGAGGCAGGCUGAACAUACUCACUCUCCUUAAAAGAUCUUCCCACCCCUUAUUUAGUAAAUUUCUGCCAUUAGAGAAAUAGUUUUUGGAGCCCUCAAAAACUUUGAAUUUUUUCAAUAUCAGUAGUAGAUUUAGCAGUUUAUACUUUUAGUUUUAACAAUGCUUUAUUCUUGGAGGCAGGUCCUUCAAAGGAAUCAGUGACAUAAUGAACACAGUAACAAGAAUUCAUGGGCACCAACCUUAAGUAAACCGUAACCUCUGACUAGAUUCUUGUGUACUACUGACAAAUUCUGACUGUGAAUUGUGUCCACAGAGGCUAAUUAUAACACUAUGACCACUAAAAGAAUCCACGGGGAUUCAUCCUGAGAGCGUGACCCUCCCAAUAUCUCAGACCCUGUUUUUGCUUUGGAUCAGGUGCCCAUUUAGCCUGGCUUCUGACAUCCAGAGUUAAUUAAACAAAUAAGCAUUUAUUACUUCUAUGCUGGUGCAUAACAAAUUGUCACAAAUUUAGCCCCACAAACUUCACCACACACAUUUGUUAUCUCCUAGUUCCUGUGGGUCCAGAGUUUGGGCACAAAAAUAUUUGGGUCCUCUGUUUUUGGUGUCUCAUAAGACUACAGUCAAGCUGUUUGCCAGGGUUUCUGUCUCAUCUACAGGCUUGACUGGGGAAGGACCUGUGUCCAGGCUUAUUUACAUGGUGAAGGGCAAGCUUGUUUUGGGGGGGGGGGGCUAUUGGACCAAGGGCCUCAGUUUCUAGUUUUCUGUUGGGUAGAAGUGGCCAUCCGUUCCUUACCAUGUGGUCCCCCUCAGCAUGACAACCUGCUUGGUCAAAGCCAGCAAGGGGAAGAGGGCAAAUAUCCCCGGUAUCCAUUUUCCAUCUUAGUAAUACAUUUAAAAAUUAAUUAGAUCAGGGGCGCCUGGGUGGCGCAGUCGGUUAAGCGUCCGACUUCAGCCAGGUCACGAUCUCGCGGUCCGGGAGUUCGAGCCCCGCGUCAGGCUCUGGGCUGAUGGCUCAGAGCCUGGAGCCUGUUUCCGAUUCUGUGUCUCCCUCUCUCUCUGCCCCUCCCCCGUUCAUGCUCUGUCUCUCUCUGUCCCAAAAAUAAAAUAAAAACGUUGAAAAAAAAAAAAUUAAAAAAAAAAUUAAUUAGAUCAAAUCACUCCCUGUCUAAAACCCUCUAAUGGCCUCUCAUUACAUUUAAAGAAAAAAUCCAUAUCCUUUACCAGGUGUGCAUGUUCUAGGCUUUCUCUCACUCCCUGACCUCAACCCUUACCAUUCUCCAGCCUUAUAAUUGUGCCUCACCACACCACCCUUCCUCCCCUUCCCCUACAUUGCCAAACUUAUUUCAGCCCCAGGGCUUUUGCAUACAUAUGUGGUUCCAUGCUUCAGAACAGGAAACACUCUGCCUCAAAGUUUCACAUGGUUCCUUUGUACAUUUCAGCUCAAAAAUCCCCUCCUUAGUGAGGCCUCUCUUGACCAUUCCAUCUAAAGAAGCCUCCCCCUUGGGGCGCCUGGGUGGCGCAGUCGGUUAAGCGUCCGACUUCAGCCAGGUCACGAUCUCGCGGUCCGUGAGUUCGAGCCCCGCGUCAGGCUCUGGGCUGAUGGCUCAGAGCCUGGAGCCUGUUUCCGAUUCUGUGUCUCCCUCUCUCUCUGCCCCUCCCCCGUUCAUGCUCUGUCUCUCUCUGUCCCAAAAAUAAAUAAACGUUGAAAAAAAAAAUUAAAAAAAAUAAAAUAAAGAAGCCUCCCCAAAGCCAUCACUUUCUAUCACAUCCCCUGGUUUUAUAGCUCUCCAUAGCAUGUAAUGCACUUAAAAACUAUCUUCUUAGUUUGUUUCCUUAUUAUCUGUCUCCCUCCACCAAGAUGUAAAAUGCAUGUAGGUAGAGACUGGGGCUGAUUUGCUCACUAUUCUUGUAGUAUAGCAUUUACUGGAUGGAUGGAUGGAUGGAUGGAUGGAUAUUUGUUUGGGAGUUCCUUCAGAAGGCCAUGUGGUAGCAAUACUAUGAACCCUUUGGCAAUCAAUUAGUGAAGCAGGGUAAAUUCCCAAAUCAUAGAGAACCAUCAAACCUAGAAGAAUAGUCUCCUUCUGCCUGUUUCACUACAGGUCACGUGGAUUAGAAGGUUCAAAACCCUCAUAAAUGGAAAAUUAUGAGGGACAAUAUUUGAAGCACAUUUCUGCUCUUAAAAAUGUAUGAUCCAGAAAGUUCUGGGAAAAAAAGAUGAAGCAAACUUAGACAUCCAGGGGAGGAGAGCUACAGGUUGGCCCUAGGAAGAAAGGUGGCUAAGAGGUUGGGAACGGUGCAAGAAUCCCCCUUCUGGGAACUGGAUAAGCUAGGAAGAAAUAUCAGCUGCUCAACAGACUAUAGGCUGAGCAAGAUUGGAAACUAGAAAAAUCUUCCAGAAGAGGGGAAGCUGAGCAGUGCCAGACAAGGGAUCAAGGAAGAUAGAGCAGAGCAGGGAGGGAUUUGGCCGAGGCUAGGAAGAGACGCAUUCAAAAUGAAGGAGGCAGCCUUCCUAUCGCUCACAGCUCAUUGUAACUGUGUAUCACUCCAGACCUUCAGGAGACAGGAAAGAAAGGGGCUGCAUGUGUGUUCUCUGUGUUAUUUCCCCUUUGCAAGGGAAAGAAGCCAGUCUGACAGGGUCAAGUGAGACCGCAGAGGUAGUUAAGGUCCAGAUCAAACUCGACUAAAAGCAGUGUGGUCAUUUCAAGACUUAGAAAGCAUCUCUAAGUGAAGAGAAAAAGUCAAGAGGCGAGUUCCAAGACUGACCCUCUCCAAGACUGCCAUUGUUACACCAGCAAUGUAACACCUACCUUCUCAGAGCCCCAUUUCUCCAUCUGUAAAGUGAAGGAAGUGAACAAAAACAAGAAUCACACGUUCAGAUGCUUUCCAGGAACCAGAGUGUUUAUGCAAAUGGUCAAAGCGAAUGGGCCUGGGGUUGGGAGGGGUCCGUGGAACCCUGCGGGAAGCAGGCCUUGUUUAGGGAAACUGUCUUAUGGAAAUAAAUAAAUAACAAAUAAAUACUCUGAGUGUCAAAUAAUUAUGCUUGCCAGCUACUGGUUUGCAACCUCUCAGGAGACAGAGUCUCUGAGACCUUUGUCAGUUAUAACACAUUUUUGUGGAUCUGCUAAUUAUAUUUGCUCGUAAAAAGGAAUGUGAAUUCAGUACAUCCCCUUGAUUGUAGGAGAGAAUGAGUCCAUUCGAAUCAAGGGGAGAAUGGCAGUGUGUAAGCAAAGAGCCUUGAUGGUGCCACAGGAGCUGUGACCGGGUCCCCUGGCCACAGGGUCAGGGUUGUGAGUGUGGCUCGGGGACAGGGGCCACGUGCUCUCCUAACUGUCUUUCCUCUCCUGCCCACCACUCUCCUCUGCCCACUACAGCUGCCCACCCCGCUCGGCUCUGUUCAUUUCGCUCGCCCCGGUGAGCAUCGGAGAAGUGAGGCAAGACGCAAAGCCAGCACCUGCCUAGGGGGCCUCCGUGAACAUAUGAGGAAAAAGCAGCCCCUCUGGGCAGACACAAUGCCACAGGCACACGGCUUUGCAACGGAGCUCUUCUGGCUGGGCAUUCAGAUCCUUCUGCUCCUUUGGCUGACACUUUUGGGAAGCACAGAAACCGCAUCAUCAAUCACAGCUGUCCUGAAGGGAAGGGAGGAGAUGCCUGCACAGGGGAACCUGAGGGAUGCGGGGAAGGGGCGGGAGUGGGGGGUUGGUGAAUGGAGGGCGAUGCACCAGAUUCCUGCAACUCUGGCCAGGCCGGUGGAUGGGAAAUUUUUAACGACGACGAAGCAACAUAAAGCCACAGUUAUCAGCCCUGCUUCCAUGACCAUCUCAGUCUCCCUCCUGGCAGCACAGCUAAGGGAUGGUCCUUUGUGACACCAAAGCCUGGCCUAAGAGGCCGCGAUGUACCAUUUGCCUGGCAGAGCUGGAAGGGGGUCUGGCUGUCCUUGGGACAUCAGGCUCUGCAGCCCAGUUUACUGUGGUGAUGCCCCCCUCCAGCCCCCACUCCCUCAGUGAGGCUUAGGAGCUCAGCAGAAAGACCUCCUGCCGUGCUAUCUAAGGACAGAGAAUUUGCCCUCUAGCAGGCGCCUCGUUCCUGCCAUCAGUUCUUCCUCCUCUCCCAGCCCACCUCCAACUUCUGCCUGCAUUUCCUACGUUCAUCCCCUCUGAGAUGAACAUCCGCUCCCACAUCCCGCUCCCUAGGGCCCCUCUGAAACACACCUCGCGACCCCCACCCCCACCUGCAGGAGCCCACAAACCCACUUCGUCUUGCAACUCUCAGGGGACUCGUGAAUAUCACCAAGAUGCAUCACAGCACCUUUGCACUCCAGCCCCCACCCGGUUGACACCCGGUGCACGUUCGCAAGGAAAAGGCCAGUAAUUGGUUUUGCCGGGGGAACAACCUCAGAGAUAAAUGUCCUGUGUACCAUCAUUUACCUUCCCCGGGUGUAUGUGUGUUUCUGUCUCCAGUGCGGGUCCCUCUCAUUGCUCACUCCUCGAGCCCCGCGUGCCAUCGUGGUGACAGAGGGGCUGUCAGGACCGCCAGCACACGGCUUCGGGAGGAGAGAAGCCUUGCUUUCCUGGCUCAGGCAGACGGGCACACGGCUCCUGAAUCAAUCUGCUCCUCCUUGAUAUCAGCCUCCCUUUUAGUUAGCACACCAGAGCAAGGAAGCUUUAAAAAGAAAGGCUAUUUGGCAAU